GGGGGAAAGCGGGCAGUUGCGUUCCGGUAUAACGGGAUGAGGAAAGUCCGAACUCCACAGAACGAUGCACUUCGUAACACGAAGGCAGUUAACCCUUCGGGGCAAGCUGACGGAUAGUGCAGCAGAAAGCAUACAGCCAAUCCGUCCCGGCAAAUAUCGUUAGAUAUAUGUCGGGAGCAUGGAGGCAAAGGUGAAAAGGCGAGGUAAGAGCUCACCAGCGUUGCGGGUAACCGCAUCGGCUAUGAAAACCCUGCAUGGAGCAAAGCCAAAUAAGGAUGCGGAUCCCGGGAAACCGGGAUAGAGAGUUGUUCGCUCGAUAAGGUUUAUUCCACCGUGUUCGGGUAGGCUGCAGGAAAGCAGUGGCGACAUUGCUUCAAGAUUAAUGACUGCCUCGAUGCUUUUCUUAAUUGAUUUGCCUCAAGACAAAAUUCGGCUUACAGCUUUCUUCCUAUA
rfam:Ignavibacteria bacterium RIFOXYC2_FTLL_35_21 rifoxyc2_full_scaffold_632, whole genome shotgun sequence.